rnacentral:rRNA from 1 species
GAUCAUGGCUCAGAUUGAACGCUGGCGGCAUGCCUUACACAUGCAAGUCGAACGGCAGCACGGGGGCAACCCUGGUGGCGAGUGGCGAACGGGUGAGUAAUACAUCGGAAUGUACCCAGUAGCGGGGGAUAACUACUCGAAAGAGUUGCUAAUACCGCAUACGCCCUAAGGGGGAAAGAGGGGGAUCGCAAGACCUCUCACUAUUGGAGCAGCCGAUGUCAGAUUAGCUUGUUGGUGAGGUAAAAGCUCACCAAGGCGACGAUCUGUACCUGGUCUGAGAGGACGACCAGGCACACUGGGACUGAGACACGGCCCAGACUCCUACGGGAGGCAGCAGUGGGGAAUUUUGGACAAUGGGGGCAACCCUGAUCCAGCAAUGCCGCGUGAGUGAAGAAGGCCUUCGGGUUGUAAAGCUCUUUUGUCGGGGAAGAAACGGUGCUUACUAAUACUAGGCACUACUGACGGUACCCGAAGAAUAAGCACCGGCUAACUACGUG